UACGUAGGGUGCGAGCGUUAAUCGGAAUUACUGGGCGUAAAGCGUGCGUAGGCGGUUCUCCAAGUCCGUUGUGAAAGCCCCGGGCUCAACCUGGGAAUGGCAGUGGAAACUAGGGGACUGGAAUCUGGCAGAGGGGGGUGGAAUGCCGCGUGUAGCAGUGAAAUGCGUAGAUAUCGUGAGGAACACCAGAGGCGAAGGCGGCUACCUGGACAAUUGCUGACGCUCAGGCACGAAGCGUGGGGAGCAAAAGGG
rnacentral:rRNA from 1 species